ensembl:miRNA MIR9789 microRNA mir-9789
GGAAAUUUCUGUUGGAAAUUUAAGAUGGAAUGGCAACCUGAUUAGUCAUUCUAAGUUUAGCUUCCUUCAGAUUAUUUUA